rnacentral:rRNA from 1 species
UACGUAGGGUGCGAGCGUUAAUCGGAAUUACUGGGCGUAAAGCGUGCGCAGGCGGUUCGUUAAGUUCGGUGUGAAAGCCCCGGGCUCAACCUGGGAAUUGCAUUGGAAACUGGCGGGCUUGAGUGUGGCAGAGGGGGGUGGAAUUCCACGUGUAGCAGUGAAAUGCGUAGAGAUGUGGAGGAACACCGAUGGCGAAGGCAGCCCCCUGGGCUAACACUGACGCUCAGGCACGAAAGCGUGGGGAGCAAACAGG